AACGAACGCUGGCGGCGCGCCUAACACAUGCAAGUCGAACGAGAAGGCGUAGCAAUACGCUUGUACAGUGGCGAACGGGUGAGUAAUACGUGGGUAACCUACCCUCGAGUGGGGAAUAACCUGCCGAAAGGCGGGCUAAUACUAGAUAAGACCACGAGGGCUUCGGCCCUUGAGGUAAAAGGUGGCCUCUGCUUGCAAGCUACCACCUAGGGAUGGGCCUGCGGGCCAUUAGCUAGUUGGUAGGGUAAUGGCCUACCAAGGCUACGAUGGCUAGCUGGUCUGAGAGGAUGGCCAGCCACACUGGGACUGAGACACGGCCCAGACUCCUACGGGAGGCAGCAUG
rnacentral:rRNA from 1 species